rnacentral:rRNA from 1 species
UUGUUAAAACAACUAUUCCCGAACAGAAAAGAUCUAUUCAAUUGAUAGGAAUUACUUAAUUUUUGGUGACAAAUAUUCUUAAUAUGGCACUAUUAAGUUUUUACCAAUGAAUAGGAGUGAAAGGCUUACAUGUUUUUAGGUAUCUGGAUAUAAGUGAAAUGAAUAUAGUUCAAUUACUAAGCAUGGAGUAAUAAGAUUUCAUGGUCAUAGAAUUUGUAGGUUAUUUAUAUAUUGAGUUAAUUUCUUAAAUAUAAAAUAUUUCUUAAUAAUACUUUUUAGCUUUUAUCUAUUAGUUAACUUAUUACUUAGCAGACUUAGGGGCUCAAGUAAAUAAUGUUUAAAUGAGUAAAUAAGGAAAAAUUUUCGAAAGGAACUCGGCAAAUAUUAUUUUCAACUGUUUAUCAAAAACAUAGCUUUAAGUUAUUUUACAUUUAAAGUUAUACCUGCCCAGUGAUUGAUUUAACGGCCGCAGUACUCUGACUGUGCAAAGGUAGCAUAAUCAAUUGGCUUUUAAUUGAAGUCGGGAAUGAAUGAGAUAAUGAAAAAUUACUGUCUCUUGAACGAAACUAGAUGGAAAUUACUUAUAAGGUGAAAAUUCCUUAAAUUAAUUUAGAUAGACGAGAAGACCCUAAGAAUUAUAAUUAAUAAAGGUAUGCUACUAUUUAAAAAUUUUUGUUGGGGCAACAGAUGUGGAGGUAAUCACAUUUUAUAACACAUGCUUACUUACGUAUAUUUUAAGAUAAGGAUUUAAUUACCUUAGGGAUAACAGCAUAAUUAUUUUAAUAGAUUGUGACCUCGAUGUUGGACUAAGGACUUAGUUGAAUAGCCUUCAAAAAAGAUGGUUCUGUUCGAACUAAUCUACCUUA